rnacentral:lncRNA from 1 species
ACUCUCGGUUCAACUGUCCUAAUGCUGUAAACUUCACUGCCAAUAAGCUAAUUUCUAAAAACUGGCUAACAGCUUUUUUUUUUUUUUCUUUUUGGAGUGUUUGAAAAGCAAAUAAAGGAGAAUCAUUUUAACAACAAAAUGUAACCUCUCCACGUGGCUGGGCUGGGUAGGUACCCAUUCACUCCACUGUCGACGUGGAACUUUCUGGAAUCUCCUGGGAUAGGAGACAGAGGAGGCCCUUCUUCCUACCCCUGAGGCUACCAACCCAUCCCUGAAGCAAAUAUUUGUGGUUUCUGGGCUGGAGGUGUGAGGAGAGGGGGCGGAUCUGCAGAAAAGCCGGCAAAUCAAAAAAGUCCUUCAGUCGCAAGGAAGCUGAAGCUACCUUUAAGAGUUUGGUGAAGACUCAUGAAAAAUACGGCUGGGUCACCCCGCCCGUCUCUGAUGGCUGAUGUUUGCAACGUGCUUUAGACGCUUAAGCCGCCUCUCCACACACACAGACACCCGACAUCUCCUCCUCCACGCUGAGCAUCCUUCGUCCUUUUUUACUCCAGCCAGAACUGCAUCCCGAAUGCCAAGGAGACGUUUAAGUUAUUUAUGAUCAGAUGUGUUUACAGAGAGAAAGAGGGAGCAAACGCUGUUCGGGAUUAGGUUUCGAUGAUAAAUGAAUGAUCAUCUCUCUAAGUCACUUUAGAACAAAUGUCGAGAAGGUGACCGUCCCCUGCCGUCCUGCCCCUCCGCCCACCCCAUCCCUCGGCCCUUAGCUUCUUUCCAUGACAGCAGCUCCAAAGAGCAGGCAGGAAACCCAAUGCCCCAGGCUCGACCCGUUUACAUGUAAUGGCACCGUUCCCAUUUCCUAGGACCGCCCUGCAUUGCCAGUACCUGUCCGCUGUGCUCCGUAGCUCUGUUCGCCCCUCCGGCAGGUCAGCAUAACUCGAGGACUGCCUUUCUGUGACCUCAUUUGUGCUCUGACCUUUGGCUUAGGAAAGCAAAAGUGGAAUAUCGCCAGGUUCUAGUGAUUUAAACCAACAACUGCGCUCUUGGUUCAAACGUGUCCCCAAGGCUGAUGCCGGCGGGGGUGGGGAGGUGAGGGAAGGCGGGGAUGCCGGGGCCACGCUGGGGUUCAGAGCGAUGGUGGUGAGACGUGGACAGUCUCCCGGAUCCUGAGAUGCUCCCACGACAUCUGUGUUCCUGUCUUCUCUCUGAUGCCCCCCACCCCCCAAAGCAAAAGACAAUGUCCCAUUCGCUGAUGUCACCUGACUCCUCUUCUCAUGUGUGCUCGUGACAGGAAAUGAAUGCCACCACUGCCCCAGGAGACCGAGUGACCGGACGACAAUUUGCAUGGCCCACUCGUCACUUGUGUGUCCCCAAGGCCGGGGUGCUCACGCACUCCGCUAGGAUAUAAACUUCUGUUAUUUAAUCUCCCCACAGGUUCAUUUUUUCUCUUCUGUUAAGUUACUUAGAACUUUCUAAGAAACUCCAUGGAAUGAGGCAACACUGUUUCUAAUAAUAUGCGGUAAGAGGUAAAAGGUUCAUUCCAAGUGGAAAAAUCUUAUUGGACACAUUUUAAAUAAAAAUCAUGCAUACC